UACGGAGGGUGCAAGCGUUAUCCGGAUUCACUGGGUUUAAAGGGUGCGUAGGCGGGCAGGUAAGUCCGUGGUGAAAUCUCUGAGCUUAACUCAGAAACUGCCAUGGAUACUAUUUGUCUUGAAUAUUGUGGAGGUGAGCGGAAUAUGUCAUGUAGCGGUGAAAUGCUUAGAUAUGACAUAGAACACCAAUUGCGAAGGCAGCUCACUACACAGUUUAUUGACGCUGAGGCACGAAAGCGUGGGGAUCAAACAGG
rnacentral:rRNA from 1 species